rnacentral:rRNA from 1 species
UACGUAGGCAGCAAGCGUUGUUCGGAAUUACUGGGCGUAAAGAGUGUGUAGGCGGUGCUCCAAGUCUGGUGUGAAAUCUCCCGGCUUAACUGGGAGGGUGCAUUAGAAACUGGAAUGCUAGAGGAUGGGAGAGGUAAGCGGAAUUCCUGGUGUAGCGGUGAAAUGCGUAGAUAUCAAGUGGAACACCAGUGGCGAAGGCGAGUCUCUGGACAUUUCCUGACGCUGAGGCACGAAAGCCCAGGGGAGCAAAACGGG